rnacentral:misc_RNA from 1 species
GGGAAAUUCGCAUCCGGUACAGGGAUGUCGUCGAUCAAACCAUAAUCAAACAACCAAUUGGGAUUUUCGGGGGAUACCAUUUCUCAAACAAUUAUUGAAAAAAAAGAGGAAAAAAACCGUGGGAUCGCCGGAAAAUAUUCAAAAUUUCCGGCCAGAAUAAUGGGAAGAAACAGGGAAUGAUAAUUGAAGAGAAAUUAGAGGAGGAGAGUUAGGGUUAGGGCUGG